rnacentral:rRNA from 1 species
AGUGAACGCUGGCGGUAGGCCUAACACAUGCAAGUCGAACGGCAGCACAGUAAGAGCUUGCUCUUACGGGUGGCGAGUGGCGGACGGGUGAGGAAUACAUCGGAAUCUACUUUUUCGUGGGGGAUAACGUAGGGAAACUUACGCUAAUGCCGCAUACGACCUACGGGUGAAAGCAGGGGAUCUUCGGACCUUGCGCGAUUGAAUGAGCCGAUGUCGGAUUAGCUAGUUGGCGGGGUAAAGGCCCACCAAGGCGACGAUCCGUAGCUGGUCUGAGAGGAUGAACAGACACACUGGAAAGGAGAAACGGGCCAGACCCCUAGGGGAGGCAGAAGGGGGGAAUAUGGGAAAAUGGGGGCAAGCCUGACCCAGCCAUACCGGGGGGGUGAAGAAGGCCUUGGGGUUGUAAAGCCCUUUUUUUGGGAAAAAAAAGCAGCAGGUUAAAACCCCGCUGUUCUGACGGUACCAAAAGAAAAAGCACCGGCUAACUUCGG